rnacentral:rRNA from 1 species
UACGGAGGAUCCAAGCGUUAUCCGGAAUCAUUGGGUUUAAAGGGUCCGUAGGUGGACAAAUAAGUCAGAGGUGAAAUCCCAUAGCUCAACUAUGGAACUGCCUUUGAUACUGUUAGUCUUGAGUUAUUAUGAAGUGGUUAGAAUGUGUAGUGUAGCGGUGAAAUGCAUAGAUAUUACACAGAAUACCGAUUGCGAAGGCAGUCUACUACGUAUAUACUGACGCUCAUGGACGAAAGCGUGGGUAGCAAACGGG